UACGUAGGGUGCAAGCGUUGUUCGGAAUUACUGGGCGUAAAGGGCGUGUAGGCGGUCAAGUAAGUGGAAUGUGAAACGCCUCGGCUUACCCGAGGACCUGCAUCCCAAACUGCUUGGCUUGAGUAUGGGAGAGGAUGAGGGAAUUCCUGGUGUAGCGGUGAAAUGCGUAGAUAUCAGGAGGAACACCGGUGGCGAAAGCGCUCAUCUGGCCCAAUACUGACGCUGAGGCGCGAAAGCUAGGGGAGCAAACGGG
rnacentral:rRNA from 1 species